GGGAGAGUGGGGCUAUUACAGGACUACUGCUGCAGCUGAGUCGACUCAGUUCGUUCCACCGAGUCACUGAUGCAACUGCCGAGUUGCUGGGUCAGGCCUCCGUUGAUUCAUUAGGUGAGGGAGAGAAAGAAAACAGGAAGGAGAGAGUGAUAGAGGAGAGAAAGGAAUGAGAGAAAGAGAGAGGCAGUAGGUGGGUGGUUGCUUGAGCCGAGUCAACUUGGUUGGGACCAAGUCAGCUAGGCCGAGUCGACUCGCUGGAUGUUGAGUUGGGCCGCAUUUCUCCCGCCUAGGAUACAACUCUAAGGGUGCAAGCACUUAGCGACACUAGAAGGCGAUUCAAAGUAUAAAGUAGUGCAGGUGGCCCCGUAUAUUGGUGAGGAGCAGGUUAUGGUUGACAAGGGUGCAUGAUUCUAUUUGUUAAGGGUUGCUACAGGAUUUCACAGUUCAAGAUUGUUGCAGUUUACCUUGUUUCACAAGUAAUAUUAAUUCAUUUUGUAUUCAUAAGAAUGGGGACAUUGGUUUGUAUAAGUCAUUAUGGGUAACCACUUGUAUAUUCUAAAUGAAAAUUGAAACUUCCCUUUAUGCUUA